AUGACUAGUUAUUAUACACAGAAAACGACGCACUUUGAUGAUAAUCCACAACAAUCGACACUUCCAUUUGAUGGCAACCGAUACUACUCGAAUAAUAGAAAUACGCUCCGCGAGGCGGAUUAUGACACUGUUCACACCUAUCGCGAUGUGCUUCAUGAACCAAAAAGGCAGGAAGUCAAUUACAGGAUUCCGAGAGCUAGAGAACCUGUGGAAAGAGAAUAUCCAGUUAAAAGAAUAGAUCGUGUUGCGCCAACGCAAAUCAUUCGAGAAUAUAGCAGAAGUGAUGAUUCAACUUUGAACCCAGAAUGGAAAACGACUGACUCUUAUGUACGGAAAACAUCAAUUUUAAAAACCGCUAAAAAAGAUUCUCAUCAGCACCAUCAUCAAGUUCCUGCUGCACCAUAUCCUGCUGGAACUCUUCCUCCCAGCUCUCAGCGAGUGGAAUGGAGAGAGCCACUAGACUGUCUUAUUGAUAGAAUGAACAGAAUCAGAAGUACAAUUGCUUGCCCUCCAUUGGAACCAUCGGUCCGGUUAGCUGAUAUUGCUGCCCAGUGGGCUCGGAUGUUGGCGAUCAGAGGGGAAUUUCGCUGAAACUGAACACAAUUCUGAUGAAAGUUAACUUUUGAUUACACACUGUAUGUGCAAGACCAUGGAAAAAACUUUCAAGCUUGCAGAAGUGACCGCAACCGAUGUAUGAACAUCUGGAUGGGGUCUCGUGUAACCGAGUCAAUUGCCGACAUAUGGUGGGAUGAAGCGGAAGAAUAUGGUACCUGGAACUAUCUCGACGUUCAAUCACUUUCGUGGGUUGGCGUGGCCAGUGCUUUUAGUGAACAACAUCGCCAAUUUAUCGUGGUUGCUGUUUAUGAGUGA
rnacentral:misc_RNA from 1 species